rnacentral:piRNA from 1 species
UCUGCCACUCGCUGUGUGAUGUUGGGCGC